CGGCAUGCCUUACACAUGCAAGUCGAACGAGAACGCACCUUCGGGUGUUAGUAGAGUGGCAAACGGGUGAGUAACGCGUGGGAAUCUACCUUAUAGUACGGAAUAGCCUCGGGAAACUGGGAUUAAUACCGUAUACGCCCUUCGGGGGAAAGAUUUAUCGCUAUAAGAUGAGCCCGCGUAAGAUUAGCUAGUUGGUGGGGUAAAAGCCUACCAAGGCGACGAUCUUUAGCUGGUCUGAGAGGACGAUCAGCCACACUGGGACUGAGACACGGCCCAGACUCC
rnacentral:rRNA from 1 species